rnacentral:rRNA from 1 species
GACGUAGGGCGCGAGCGUUGUCCGGAUUUAUUGGGCGUAAAGAGCUCGUAGGCGGCUUGUCACGGCGGGUGUGAAAGACCGGGCUUUAACUCCGGUUCUGCAUUCGAUACGGGCAGACUAGAGUUCGGUAGGGGAGACUGGAAUUCCUGGUGUAGCGGUGAAAUGCGCAGAUAUCAGGAGGAACACCGGUGGGCGAAAGGCGGGGUCUCUGGGCCAAACUGACGCUGAGGAGCGAAAGCGUGGGGAGCAAACAGG